rnacentral:lncRNA from 1 species
UGACAGUGACACGGGUGGCACCAAGAGGGGGUGACGCCAAGGUGGGUGACAGUGGGAGGAGGUGACACCAAGGGGGAGGUGACACUGAGGGAGGGGGGACACCAAGAGGGGGUGACACCAUGCUGGGUGACAGUGGCACAGGUGACACCAAGGGGGUACACACCAAGAGGGGGUGACACCAAGGGAGGUGACACCAUGCUGAGAGGGGACACCAAGGUGGGUGACAGUGGCAGGGGUGACACCGAGGGGGUACACACCAAGAGGGGGUGACACCAAGGGAGGUGACACCAUGCUGGGGGGACACACACUGGGGUGGGUGACAGUGAAGGUGACACCAAGAGGGGAGGUGACACCAAGAGGGGGUGACACCGAGGGGGAGGUGACACCAAGAGGGGGUGACACCAAAGGAGGUGACACCAAGUUGGGUGACAGUGGCAGGGGUGACACCAAGGGGGUACACACUGAGAGGAGGUGACACCAAGAGGGGGUGACAGUGGCAGGGGUGACACUUAGGAGGAGGUGACACCACACUGAGGGGGGACACCAAGGUGGGUGACAGUGGCAGGGGUGACACCAAGGGGGUACACACCAAGAGGGGGUGAUGCCAAGGUGGGUGACAGUGGGAGGGGUGACACUGAGAAGAGGUGACACCAAGGGGGAGGUGACAAACCAGGGUGGGUGACAGUAGCAGGGGUGACACCGAGGGGGAGGUGACACUGAGAGGGGGUGACAUCACGUUGAGGGGUGACACCAAGGUGGGUGACAGUGGCAGGGGGGACACUGAGAGGGGGGGACACCAUGCUGGGGUGGGUGACAAUGGCAGGGGG